rnacentral:rRNA from 1 species
GGAUCGUAAAACCCUGUUGUUAGAGAAGAAAGUGCGUGAGAGUAACUGUUCACGUUUCGACGGUAUCUAACCAGAAAGCCACGGCUAACUACGUGCCAGCAGCCGCGGUAAUACGUAGGUGGCAAGCGUUAUCCGGAUUUAUUGGGCGUAAAGGGAACGCAGGCGGUCUUUUAAGUCUGAUGUGAAAGCCUUCGGCUUAACCGGAGUAGUGCAUUGGAAACUGGGAGACUUGAGUGCAGAAGAGGAGAGUGGAACUCCAUGUGUAGCGGUGAAAUGCGUAGAUAUAUGGAAGAACACCAGUGGCGAAAGCGGCUCUCUGGUCUGUAACUGACGCUGAGGUUCGAAAGCGUGGGUAGCAAACAGGAUUAGAUACCCUGGUAGUCCACGCCGUAAACGAUGAAUGCUAAGUGUUGGAGGGUUUCCGCCCUUCAGUGCUGCAGCUAACGCAAUAAGCAUUCCGCC